rnacentral:rRNA from 1 species
CCUACGGGAGGCAGCAGUAGGGAAUAUUGCUCAAUGGGGGAAACCCUGAAGCAGCAACGCCGCGUGGAGGAUGAAGGUCUUCGGAUUGUAAACCCCUUUUGUUAGAGAAGAUAAUGACGGUAUCUAACGAAUAAGCACCGGCUAACUCCGUGCCAGCAGCCGCGGUAAUACGGAGGGUGCAAGCGUUACUCGGAAUCACUGGGCGUAAAGAGCGCGUAGGCGGGAUAGCAAGUCAGAUGUGAAAUCCUAUGGCUUAACCAUAGAACUGCAUUUGAAACUGUUAUUCUAGAGUAUGGGAGAGGUAGGUGGAAUUCUUGGUGUAGGGGUAAAAUCCGUAGAGAUCAAGAGGAAUACUCAUUGCGAAGGCGGCCUGCUGGAACAUAACUGACGCUGAUGCGCGAAAGCGUGGGGAGCAAACAGGAUUAGAUACCCCAGUAGUC